GUCAGAGCACUGGUAUGUGAGGCACUACAAUGGAUAAAAAUCCAAGAAGAGGAGUUCGCGUGAAAGGAGGUCAAGCAGUUCAAGGUGGUCGAGGUGGUCAGCGAGGACAAAGAACAGUAAUGUCAGAUGAAAUCAGAGCUACUGGAAUUGACCGUGUUGUUGUCCAUGGUAUGACAAUGAAGGAGGCCGGACUAAGGGUACAACCAAACAUCAGUAGAUUCACCGUGUCCACCAUAAUCCGAAGAUUUCGAGAAGAGAACAGAAUUGAAAGACUGCCACAUGGGGGAGGUAGGACAUCUAUGUUCUCCCCACACCAAGACACCCUAAUUGUCGACAUGGUCCGUGAGAACAACACCAUUAAACUGCGUGAAAUUCACCUGAGGAUCAUUGAGGACCAUGUGCAUUUUGAGGGUAUCGACAGUGUCAGCCUCUCUACUGUUGACCGUGUCCUCAAGCGCAACAGACUGCACAUGAAACAGCUGUACAGAGUGCCCUUUGAACGCAACUCUGACAGAGUCAAAGAUUCCAGUAUGUACAGGUUGGUAUAUAUCCAGAGACAUGGGCAGCGUGGUGGUCAUAUUGUGUGCUGCCAUCAAUAAUCAUAGUUUUGUCCACCAUCAUGCCAAUCUCGGGCCCUACAACACUCACCAGCUCCUCAAUCACAUGCGAAAUGCUCUGUUAGGGCAGCAGGAUGAGCAGCACAUCUAUGUUGUUGUUUGGGACAAUGUGAGUUUUCACAGAGGCCUCCUGGUUAGGGAGUGGUUCAGUAUGAACCAAGGUUUUAUCAAUCUUUGCCUUCCAUCGUACUCCCCUUUCCUGAACCCCACUGAAGAAUUCUUCUCCUCAUGGUGGUGGAAGGUAUAUGAACGCCAACCUUACACCAGGGUAAAUCUCCUGCAAGCCAUGGAACUGGCCUGUGGUGACAUGGGUGUGGAGGCAUGUCAAGCCUGGAUAUGGCAUGCCAGGGAUUUUUUCCCCAGUUGCCUGGCCAGAGAAAACGUGGCCGGUGAUGUAAAUGAAGUCCUGUGGCCUGACCCAGUACGGAGAAAUGAUGCCGUGUACUUCAUUUUUAUAUUUGUGUGCUUUAUUUCUACUUACAAGUG
ensembl:lncRNA